UAGGGAAUCUUCCGCAAUAGGCGAAAGCCUGACGGAGCAACGCCGCGUGAGUGAAGAAGGAUUUCGGUUCGUAAAGCUCUGUUGUUAGGGAAGAAUGAUUGUGUAGUAACUAUACACAGUAGAGACGGUACCUAACCAGAAAGCCACGGCUAACUACGUGCCAGCAGCCGCGGUAAUACGUAGGUGGCAAGCGUUGUCCGGAAUUAUUGGGCGUAAAGCGCGCGCAGGUGGUUUAAUAAGUCUGAUGUGAAAGCCCACGGCUCAACCGUGGAGGGUCAUUGGAAACUGUUAAACUUGAGUGCAGGAGAGAAAAGUGGAAUUCCUAGUGUAGCGGUGAAAUGCGUAGAGAUUAGGAGGAACACCAGUGGCGAAGGCGGCUUUUUGGCCUGUAACUGACACUGAGGCGCGAAAGCGUGGGGAGCAAACAGGAUUAGAUACCCUGGUAGUCCACGCCGUAAACGAUGAGUGCUAAGUGUUGGUCUCAUAAGAGAUCAGUGCUGCAGCUAACGCAUUAAGCACUCCGCCUGGGGAGUACGACCGCAAGGUUG
rnacentral:rRNA from 1 species